rnacentral:rRNA from 1 species
GCUUUACUGUAGCUUGGUAUUGUGCCCGGGCUCUGAAUGCGCAGGAUAGGUGGGAGGCUUUGAUCCAUGGCUUGCGGGUCAUGGUGAGCCAACGGUGAGAUACCACUCUUUCAGAGCUAGGGUUCUAACAGCCACCCGUUAUCCGGGGGCUGGACAGUAUCAGGUGGGCAGUUUGACUGGGGCGGUCGCCUCCUAAAAGGUAACGGAGGCGCGCAAAGGUCUGCUCAGGCUGGUUGGAAAUCAGCCGACGAGUGCAAAAGCAGAAGCAGGCUUGACUGUGAGACCUACAAGUCGAACAGGGGGGAAACCCGGCUUUAGUGAUCCGACGGUUCUGAGUGGAAGGGCCGUCGCUCAACGGAUAAAAGUUA